GUCGCGGCGGUCUCUAAUUCGCUUGGUGCAGGUCGGGAACUGCCGGAUCGGAUUGCAUGUACGUCGCCGGCCAUCUGCAAAUCUAGCUAGCUCCUGCCUUGCAUCAACUGAAUCGGAGACCGCGGUGAUU
rnacentral:pre_miRNA from 1 species